UAUUGUUCAGAAAAUUUCUCGAGCUCCCCGAAAACCAGCCUCAUCGUAUUGAUGCUUGGCAUUUGAGGAAGACAAGCGCAGUUUUAGUACCUGUGGCUGUCGAGAAGGACGCUAGGAGUGAUAUUCCUGAAAUUGACAGGAAGAAAUACCAUGUCCCUGGUAAUAUGACCCUUGGAGAAUUCAUCUUAUUCAUUAGGGUCAGUAUCAGGAUAAGCAAGAAAAAGCCGAUAUUUGUCUCUUUCAAGAACACUAAACCUCCUGUUGGUGCUUUGUUUUAUGAAAUCGAUGAGGAAAAUAAGGGUGAAGAUGGAUUUCUUCACAUUACCUACAGUGGGGAAGAGAAUGUUUGUGGAUCAAAUCAAGAGCAAGAACACGGGGAUGAAAUGUCUAUCAAGAAGGAAGCCGCAAACAAUCCACAUGCAACACCAGUAGGAAUUCCACUGAAGCAGAAUAUAUAUAAUUCUCGUGAAAUCUGCAUGCAAGGGGGAUUGACAGUAUUCCCGACAACAAUUCCAUUGAACCUGCCAUGGGUGCCUGGUUAUCUGCAAUCAAUGAGAGAAAUAAGGAUAAGUUGUAUUUCUUCACAUCAGUCGGAAAGGAGGAGAAUGUUUGUGAAUCAUCCAAGGAAGACCGAGAAUGCAUUAAGUUGAAGUAUUUAGUUUUAUGAAAUGCAUUGGGACUGUGAUAUCUGUGUGUGAUAGUGUUAUCAGUUAGAAUUGAGUUGGGGGCUCAAUUACAACUGUAUCCCUUGAAACUCAACCCGAGUUAGAGUAACUGCGUUUGUUUUUAACUCUAAACUUUAUAUCCGACCCUAACUUUUCCAGUGUAUUACAAAUGUCACUUACCGAUCCCGGAAUACAUCUAGAAUCAACACAUGACAUGACGUCAAGUCGUAUUGGGACAAUCAAGUAAAACCUAGCUAGAUUUCGUGCUUCAUAAAAUACAAACAGAAAGAACCUCAUCAACAAACCAAUAGCCUCACAACGCGAAGUACCAAAAACAAUCAAUGAUUUAACAACAUAGCAUCCACUCAUUUAUUUUACUACAUAUAUAUAAUCGGGGUAACCAUUACGAACUAUAUACCUUGUUCUGUAUAGCUGACUAGGCAUACGAAACAUAAA
rnacentral:lncRNA from 1 species